UCUUUGAACGCACCUUGCACUCCUUGGUAUUCCGAGGAGUAUGCCUGUUUGAGUCUCAUGGAAUUCUCAACCCCUAAAUUUUGUAAUGAAGUUUAGUGGGCUUGGACUUGGAGGUUGUGUCGGCUUCUAGUCGACUCCUCUGAAAUGUAUUAGCGUGAAUCUUACGGAUCGCCUUCAGUGUGAUAAUUAUCUGCGCUGUGGUGUUGAAGUAUUUAUUAGUUCAUGCUUAUAGUCGUCUCUUACCGAGACAAUUUAUGACAAUCUGAGCUCAAAUCAGGUAGGACUACCCGCUGAACUUAAGCAUAUCAAUAAGCGGAGGAAAAGAAACUAACAAGGAUUCCCCUAGUAACUGCGAGUGAAGCGGGAAAAGCUCAAAUUUAAAAUCUGGCGGCUUUGGUCGUCCGAGUUGUAUCCUAGAGAAGUGUUUUCCGCGUUGGACCGUGUAUAAGUCUCUUGGAACAGAGCGUCAUAGAGGGUGAGAAUCCCGUCUUUGACACGGACUACCAAUGCUUUGUGAUAC
rnacentral:rRNA from 1 species